ACGGAGGAUGCGAGCGUUAUCCGGAUUUAUUGGGUUUAAAGGGUGCGUAGGCGGAUUAAUAAGUCAGUGGUGAAAACCUGCAGCUUAACUGUGGAACUGCCGUUGAUACUGUUAGUCUUGAGUAUGGUCAAGGUAGGCGGAAUGUGUAAUGUAGCGGUGGAAUGCUUAGAUAUUACGCGGAACACCGGUUGCGAAGGCGGCUUACUGGGCCGUUACUGACGCUGAUGAACGAGAGCGUGGGGAUCGAACAG
rnacentral:rRNA from 1 species